rnacentral:rRNA from 1 species
UAGCGGCGGACGGGUUAGUAACGCGUGGGAACGUACCCAGAUCUACGGAAUAGCCUCGGGAAACUGAGAGUAAUACCGUAUACGCCCUUCGGGGGAAAGAUUUAUCGGAUUUGGAUCGGCCCGCGUAAGAUUAGAUAGUUGGUGGGGUAAUGGCCUACCAAGUCUACGAUCUUUAGCUGGUUUGAGAGGAUGAUCAGCAACACUGGGACUGAGACACGGCCCAGACUCCUACGGGAGGCAGCAGUGGGGAAUCUUAGACAAUGGGCGCAAGCCUGAUCUAGCGAUGCCGCGUGAGUGAUGAAGGCCUUAGGGUCGUAAAGCUCUUUCGCCUGUGAAGAUAAUGACGGUAG